AAUAGAUACCCGGGUAGUCCACGCCGUAAACGAUGGAUACUAGCUGUUCGGAGUAAUCUGAGUGGCUAAGCGAAAGUGAUAAGUAUCCCACCUGGGGAGUACGUUCGCAAGAAUGAAACUCAAAGGAAUUGACGGGGGCCCGCACAAGCGGUGGAGCAUGUGGUUUAAUUCGAUGAUACGCGAGGAACCUUACCAGGGCUUAAAUGUAGAUUGACAGGUUUAGAGAUAGACUUUUCUUCGGACAAUUUACAAGGUGCUGCAUGGUUGUCGUCAGCUCGUGCCGUGAGGUGUCAGGUUAAGUCCUAUAACGAGCGCAACCCCUGUUGUUAGUUGCCAGCGAGUAAUGUCGGGAACUCUAACAAGACUGCCAGUGCAAACUGUGAGGAAGGUGGGGAUGACGUCAAAUCAUCACGGCCCUUACGUCCUGGGCUACACACGUGCUACAAUGGUAGGGACAGAGAGCAGCCACUUCGCGAGAAGGAGCGAAUCUAUAAACCCUAUCACAGUUCGGAUCGGAGUCUGCAACUCGA
rnacentral:rRNA from 1 species